rfam:Spirochaetes bacterium GWB1_66_5 gwb1_scaffold_26927, whole genome shotgun sequence.
UUCCCGGUGGUGUAAUGGUAACACGCAAGACUCUGGAUCUUGUUUUGGGGGUUCGAGUCCUCCCCGGGAAG